rnacentral:rRNA from 1 species
AUUGAACGCUGGCGGCAUGCCUUACACAUGCAAGUCGAACGGUAACAGGUCUUCGGAUGCUGAUGAGUGGCGAACGGGUGAGUAAUACAUCGGAACGUGCCCGAGAGUGGGGGAUAACGAAGCGAAAGCUUUGCUAAUACCGCAUACGAUCUCAGGAUGAAAGCAGGGGACCGCAAGGCCUUGCGCUCACGGAGCGGCCGAUGGCAGAUUAGGUAGUUGGUGGGAUAAAAGCUUACCAAGCCGACGAUCUGUAGCUGGUCUGAAAGGACGACCAGCAACACUGAGACUGAGACACGGCCCAGACUCCUACGGGAGGCAGCAGUGGGGAAUUAUGGAUAAUGGGCGCAAGCCUGAUCCAGCCAUGCCGCGUGCAGGAUGAAGGCCUUCGGGUUGUAAACUGCUUUUGUACGGAACGAAAAGACUCUGGUUAAUACCUGGGGUCCAUGACGGUACCGUAAGAAUAAGCACCGGCUAACUACGUGCCAGCAGCCGCAGUAAAAC